AACGAACGCUGGCGGCAGGCUUAACACAUGCAAGUCGAGCGCCCCGCAAGGGGAGCGGCAGACGGGUGAGUAACGCGUGGGAACGUACCUUUUGGUUCGGAACAACUCCGGGAAACUGGAGCUAAUACCGGAUAAGCCCUAACGGGGAAAGAUUUAUCGCCGAAAGAUCGGCCCGCGUCUGAUUAGCUAGUUGGUGAGGUAACGGCUCACCAAGGCGACGAUCAGUAGCUGGUCUGAGAGGAUGAUCAGCCACACUGGGACUGAGACACGGCCCAGACUCCUACGAGAGGCAGCAGUGGGGAAUAUUGGACAAUGGGCGCAAGCCUGAUCCAGCCAUGCCGCGUGAGUGAUGAAGGCCGUAGGGUUGUAAAGCUCUUUUGUCCGGGAAGAUAAUGACUGUACCGGAAGAAUAAGCCCCGGCUAACUUCGUG
rnacentral:rRNA from 1 species